GACGAACGCUGGCGGCGUGCUUAACACAUGCAAGUCGAACGAAAAGACGGAAAGAGCUUGCUCCUUUCAGAAUUGAGUGGCAAACGGGUGAGUAACACGUAAACAACCUGCCUUCAGGAUGGGGACAACAGACGGAAACGACUGCUAAUACCGAAUAAGUUCCAAGGGCCGCAUGGCCCAUGGAAGAAAAGGUGGCCUCUACCUGUAAGCUAUCGCCUGAAGAGGGGUUUGCGUCUGAUUAGCUGGUUGGAGGGGUAACGGCCCACCAAGGCGACGAUCAGUAGCCGGUCUGAGAGGAUGAACGGCCACACUGGAACUGAGACACGGUCCAGACUCCUACGGGAGGCAGCAGUGGGGAAUCUUCCGCAAUGGGCGAAAGCCUGACGGAGCAACGCCGCGUGGGUGAUGACGGCCUUCGGGUUGUAAAACUCUGUGAUCCGGGACGAAAAGGCAGAGUGCGAAGAACAAACUGCAUUGACGGUACCGGAAAAGCAAGCCACGGCUAA
rnacentral:rRNA from 1 species